rnacentral:rRNA from 1 species
UAGGGAAUAUUGGGCAAUGGAGGGAACUCUGACCCAGCCAUGCCGCGUGCAGGAUGAAGGCGUUAUGCGUUGUAAACUGCUUUUUAUAUAGGAAGAAAUAGUCCUUGCGAGGAAAGUUGACGGUACUAUAUGAAUAAGCACCGGCUAACUCCGUGCCAGCAGCCGCGGUAAUACGGAGGGUGCAAGCGUUGUCCGGAUUUAUUGGGUUUAAAGGGUGCGUAGGCGGUUUAUUAAGUCAGUGGUGAAAGACGGUCGCUCAACGAUUGCAGUGCCAUUGAUACUGGUAGACUUGAGUAUGAUUGAGGUAGCUGGAAUGGAUAGUGUAGCGGUGAAAUGCAUAGAUAUUAUCCAGAACACCAAUUGCGUAGGCAAGUUACUAAGUCAUAACUGACGCUGAGGCACGAAAGUGUGGGUAUCAAACAGGAUUAGAUACCCAUGUAGUCCCUGAGCGGGCUGGCAAGGCGCAU